rnacentral:tRNA from 1 species
GCUUUCGUAGCAUAGUGGUUAAAGCACUUGGCUGCUAACCAAAAAGUCAGUGGUUCGAACCCAACAGCU